AACGUAGGAGACAAACGUUAUCCGGAGUUACUGGGCGUAAAGGGCGUGUAGGCGGUUAGUUAAGUCUGGCGUGAAAGCUCUCGGCUAAACCGGGAGAGGUCGUUGGAUACUGGCAAACUAGAGGACGGUAGAGGCGUGUGGAAUUCCGGGUGUAGUGGUGAAAUGCGUAGAUAUUCGGAAGAACACCAGUGGCGAAGGCGGCUCACUGGUCCGGUACUGACGCUGAGGUGCGAAAGCGUGGGGAGCAAACAGG
rnacentral:rRNA from 1 species